rnacentral:sRNA from 1 species
AAGACAGCAGCCGAGACAGCAGCUGAGACGGCAGCGGCAGCUUCUCAGGGCCGGAGCCAGUUCUUGGAGGAGAGUCUGCACAGGGCAUGGAUCACUGUGGUGCCCUUUUCCUGUGCCUGUGCCUUCUGACUUUGCAGAAUGCAACAGCAGAGACAUGGGAAGAACUCCUGCGCUACAUGGAGAAUAUGCAGGUGUCCAGGGGCCGGAGCUCAGUUUUUUCCUCUCGUCAACUCCACCAGCUGGAGCAGAUGCUACUGAACACCAGCUUCCCAGGCUACAACCUGACCUUGCAGACACCCACCAUCCAGUCUCUGGCCUUCAAGCUGAGCUGUGACUUCUCUGGCCUCUCGCUGACCAGUGCCACUCUGAAGCGGGUGCCCCAGGCAGGAGGUCAGCAUGCCCGGGGUCAGCACGCCAUGCAGUUCCCCGCCGAGCUGACCCGGGAUGCCUGCAAGACCCACCCCAGGGAGCUGCGGCUCAUCUGUAUCUACUUCUCCAACACCCACUUUUUCAAGGAUGAAAACAACUCAUCUCUGCUGAAUAACUACGUCCUGGGGGCUCAGCUGAGUCAUGGGCACGUGAACAACCUCAGGGAUCCGGUGAACAUCAGCUUCUGGCACAACCAAAGCCUGGAAGGCUACACCCUGACCUGUGUCUUCUGGAAGGAGGGAGCCAGGAAACAGCCCUGGGGGGGCUGGAGCCCUGAGGGCUGUCGUACAGAGCAACCCUCCCGCUCUCAGGUGCUCUGCCGCUGCAACCACCUCACCUACUUUGCUGUUCUCAUGCAACUCUCCCCAGCCCUGGUCCCUGCAGAGUUGCUGGCACCUCUAACGUACAUCUCCCUCGUGGGCUGCAGCAUCUCCAUCGUGGCCUCGCUGAUCACAGUCCUGCUGCACUUCCAUUUCAGGAAGCAGAGUGACUCCUUAACACGCAUCCACAUGAACCUGCAUGCCUCCGUGCUGCUCCUGAACAUCGCCUUCCUGCUGAGCCCCGCAUUCGCAAUGUCUCCUGUGCCCGGGUCAGUAUGCACAGCUCUGGCCGCUGCCCUGCACUACGCGCUGCUCAGCUGCCUCACCUGGAUGGCCAUCGAGGGCUUCAACCUCUACCUCCUCCUCGGGCGUGUCUACAACAUCUACAUCCGCAGAUAUGUGUUCAAGCUUGGUGUGCUAGGCUGGGAUGCUGGGUGCGGAGCCCCGUGGUGCACAGUGUCCUGGUCAUGGGCUAUGGCGGCCUCACGUCCCUCUUCAACCUGGUGGUGCUGGCCUGGGCGCUGUGGACCCUGCGCAGGCUGCGGGAGCGGGCGGAUGCACCGAGUGCCAGGGCCUGCCAUGACACUGUCACUGUGCUGGGCCUCACCGUGCUGCUGGGAACCACCUGGGCCUUGGCCUUCUUUUCUUUUGGCGUCUUCCUGCUGCCCCAGCUGUUCCUCUUCACCAUCUUAAACUCGCUCUACGGUUUCUUCCUUUUCCUGUGGUUCUGCUCCCAGCGGUGCCGCUCAGAAGCAGAGGCCAAGGCACAGAUAGAGGCCUUCAGCUCCUCCCAAACAACACAGUAGUCCGGGCCUCCUGGCCUGGAACCCUCAGCCUCUCUGGCUGCCAGUAGUCUGAGGCUACGGCUCCCGCUAGAGAGGGUCGCAGGCCUGCUGCUGGACCCCAG